rnacentral:rRNA from 1 species
UACAGAGGUCUCAAGCGUUGUUCGGAUUCAUUGGGCGUAAAGGGUGCGUAGGCGGCGCGGUAAGUCGGGUGUGAAAUCUCGGGGCUUAACUCCGAAACUGCAUUCGAUACUGCCGUGCUUGAGUACUGGAGAGGAGACUGGAAUUUACGGUGUAGCGGUGAAAUGCGUAGAUAUCGGAAGGAAGACCAGUGGCGAAGGCGGGUCUCUGGACAGUACCUGACGCUGAGGCACGAAGGUCAGGGGAGCAAACGGG